CAUCGUGUUCAUUAGCGGAGGUCUUGAAGUUUUGUUGUUGUUUUUUUACAUGUGGAAGCUUCACAGAUUUUUUUUCCUGGACUGUUGAGCCUAAUGAAUUAUAACCCUGUAGUGGGUACAGUCCACUAGGGUUUUUGUUUUGUUUUUUAAGACCUACACACGUUAAUACGGUUCAGGACCAUAAAUAUUUUACCACCUGGAAUGUCUUUUAAAGUUAAGUCCCUUGGGGGGGGGGGAGAUAAAUGUGUUCAAAACUUUCCAAAUCUCUCUAAUACUUGGCAUGUGAAUGUCAUUUUAAAUAAAUCACUGUAGGGCAAGGGAUGCUUAUUUUACUAAAAAAUGCUCAACCUGUGCUCUGCAUUUACUCUGCUGCCCCCUCCCCAAGUAAAAGUAAAGCACUUAAAAUAGAACCGAGCCUCCAGCCACUCAUUUAGGCUAUAACGUACUGUUUUGGCACAAGGAAGGGUUUGGUUUUUUGGGUUUGGAAAGGUUCCAGUCAGCUAGCUUUUCUCGUUUAUUGAGUCUUAUAUUUUCUCUCCGGUCUAACAUCAGUAUAUCUCCUGGAUGGAGUACUCCUCCUCUUCCUCUUCCCAAUGAGCUGCAUGCAGCCUGCAGACACAUAUCCACAACCAUUCAUAACCUUCCCCCCCCCCCACCCCCACAAAAGGAAAGGAGACGCCACAAGACACACCGCAUGCAGCGUGCAAAGCUUCUCAUGUGGAUGGGAGAUGUAGGUACUGUAUUUCAAACUGUAAACCCUUUUCACAACAAGUUCAGGGGUGUUAAUCCCUGUGCCCAUUGCUGUUAAAAGAAAAGGCUCUGUCAGAAAACCUGGUGUAAGAAAAGUAACAAAAAUGCUCUCUCUCCAGCUGGAGACUUUUUCAUGUCUGUUCCCUCGCUAGUACGUCACUACAUUUGCUGACUGAAAAGAGGUGGUUGGUAUUUAGCAGGGUGAUAUUUGAUGGAAGUUCUCUACAAGCCUGUCUUUAACUGGAGAUGUCCUGGACUCACUGAAAAAUGAGCUGUUUUCACUCAGUGCUUUCCUUUGAUAAAAGAAAAAGUGGUCUGGAUCUGUUAGUCAAAUAAUGACAAGAAACACUUUCAGCUAAAUAUUUGCUGCUAUAUAUCACUUCAUUGCUCUGCAAGUUUCCUCGAUAGAAGUUUCUGGCUGACAGCAAGACAUGUGCCUGAGGCACAGAGAGCAGAUAUUGACCAAAGCAUGCCUUUUUGAAACAACAAAAACAACCCCCUCUUUUAUUCCUUAUUACAACUUUCUUUUGUUGCUAUGUUUACAUUGGCCUCUAUUUAGAGCCCUGCGGCAAAAGCGAGGAUACUUUUCAGUGAUACACAGUAAGAUCUAUUUAUAAAAAACAGCUUUGAGAAUAAAGUGAGCCACUGGGGGUUAGUUUCUAUUCUGGGGCCCGAUCCUGUAUUCCCUGUCCGACCCAAAUAGAAGCGAGCGUGGAGUUCCAUGAACUCCGGUUUAAUGAACUCCACCGGCAUCCUAGGUGCGCGAGGAAUGCGGGAUCGGGCCCCUAGCAGUCCUGUCGGUGCAGCAGGCAGCCUCGCUCCACGAUUUCCAGCUUUUUGUGGUUAGCAAUAUUAUCUUAAGUAACUUUUGGCGCCCUUCGUAAGACUUUUGGACGUGGGAUGAUUGUUUGCGCCCUCUAGGCAGAGGCUGCAUCCAAGUUCAGCACCAAACCCCUUCACAUCCGCGUUCUCCAAUCCAGCACGCAUUGUGCACGCUUAAACUCUAGGAUCCUGAGCCUACAGAAAAGGAACCACGGACGCACAAGGAGGAGGCUGAUGCACGCACGGGGCCCACCCUUGGCCAAUGGCAGCUCCUGGAUUUCCCAUCAACGCGAGCUCCAGGAUCCAGCUCGAGCUGCAGCCGCGCCCGGGACAGAGGGUCCACGUACAGUAGGCCCCAGCCCAGCAGCAGCGGCGGCAGGCGGGAGGAAGAGGAGCGGGGUAUAUCCGUACGCAGUGCAAGUCCUUUCUGCAGGCGGACAUUGGGAUGGGGUCUAAGGAGAUGGUUUGCUGCGUGCUGUAGUGCGGGUGUCCGCCUCGCAGCGGAUCCUUUCCCUUUAAAAGCAAAACAAACCCUACCGCUCUUUGCAAGUUACUUUAGUUCAAGGAGACUGGCCGGGAGGUCGGCAAAGCCAUUUGCACUGGGUGGGGUAAAGUUCCUCUUAAAUGCAUUAAAACUGCUGAGUUCAGAAAUCAAAUGCAACCAAACAAAAGGAUUCUAAUUCGAACUGUGCCUGUCCUCCGAACUGUUGGGAAAUCUGAAGGUGGGGGUGGGUUAUCAUUACAGUCGUGGAUAACGGUAAUAGCAGCCAUCGAAUUCCUGGCUGCAAAGUAUUCAAUUUCUGCAGCACCCCAAAAAUAGGCCUGGUGUCACCCUUGCAAGUCGUUGUUUCUGUUAACUAGCUUUGGACACGUUUGCAGGAUAACCCUGAUAUCUACAACUCCUAAAAUACAAUCUGCUAAACUUAAUUUUAAACAAAUCUCCAAAGAGGGCAUGAGAAAUAGAAAGCUACCAGUCAGUUGUGUGUAGCUUUGAAUUACAGAACCACAAGGUUAGAAGGGAUUGCAAAGGUCAUCUAGCCUAACCCCCAACGAUCCUUGAUGAUGAAGAGGCUUGUGUAAUUAACAGCAGACAGCAAAAGCAUUGCAUCAUGUAUUGGAAGCUUGAGAUCUCUUGACGUUGCAACAUCCACAAAAACCAAACAAGCGAACAGUUGAUAAUUUCUGGAAUUUUAUAAUUAUUUUAAUAGUACAGUGUGGCCCUUUAGCUGAGUAAGGACUGCUGGGGUAUCAUGGUUACCCCCAAAAUAUUUAAUACUAUUAAGUGGAUGAGAUUAGAGCUUUAAAGAUGGAUGAAGUGAGCUGUAGCUCAUGAAAGCUUAUGCUCAAAUAAAUUGGUUAGUCUCUUAAGGUGCCACUAGUACUCCUUUUCUUUUUGCGAAUACAGACUAUAGUGUUAACUAAAGUUGGUGAAUAAAGAUGGUAGCUAUUGGUUAGCAUAAACUUCUCUUAUUUAGUGAGGGGCUUUUUUCAGAUGGUUCCUAUUAGCAAAUCAUCAAAUGAUGAAAUAUUGUCUGCAGAUUAAAUUAAACCAUCUAUGUUUUA